rnacentral:tRNA from 1 species
GGCUGUGGCUCAGUGGUGGAGCAUUUGCUUGGCACGCAGAAGAUCCCAGGCUCAAUCCCUGGCAUCGCCA